rnacentral:rRNA from 1 species
UACGUAGGGUGCAAGCGUUUAAUCGGAAUUACUGGGCGUAAAGCGUGCGCAGGCGGUUUUGUAAGUCUGUCGUGAAAUCCCCGGGCUCAACCUGGGAAUUGCGAUGGAGACUGCAAGGCUAGAAUCUGGGCAGAGGGGGGGUAGAAUUCCACGUGUAGCAGUGAAAUGCGUAGAGAUGUGGAGGAACACCGAUGGCGAAGGCAGCCCCCUGGGUCAAGAUUGA